GGGGAUAUGGGGGAGGGCAGGGGGUAGGACAGGGAACUUUGCAGGUUCAGCUUCCUAUUGGUACUCAGAGCUGAUAUGCACACCUCACCCAGGGCAGGACUCAGUCCAGUUUAGAAUCAAAGAAUAUGACCAAGAAAGAGCAGUCCGGGCUUGAUGCUAAGCUUCACUGCCGCUGUGCUCCUCGGGAGAAGGGCAAUGGCUGCAAGGGUCUUGUCUGUCCUUCUGUAGCCUUACCUGUCCUUUGAUAACACUACAACUAAAGCAUCUACAAAAUAAAAGGCUAAGCUAUUCUCCAUUUAGAGUGGCGACCAGAAGCCAGGCUAAACUCUGCACUUGGUGUCAUCAGCCCCAGGACACCGAUGAACUGACGCUGUUCACUGGGACCUAAGCGGCUAUGGGCUGUUGUCCGGACACCAUGCUGGCCCCUCCAACUCCGGCAGAGCCCCAGCCAGACCCACUCGGGAUGCCCGCGUGGGGAUCCUGGGCGCAGGCGACAGGACCAGCGACGUGCAGCAGCAUACCGGAACAUCUCGUGACUGUCCCCUGACCUGCACUGAAAUCUGGACAUAGGAAACAUUUGGUACCAAGUAUCCAGUCUGGCGGUGAAUCUGAAGUUUAUUCGAUGAGAAGAGAUCACUGUCCCUGAUUGACAUGCUGCCAAUUAAAGUAACCCAGAGACCCCCAUGUUUAAUGCCUUGCCUGGUUAAACUUGGCUUUGACAUCCAACCAGGAAGAUGACCCUGGGCAGAGCUCUUCGCCAUCUGCCCACUUAAGAGUAGA
rnacentral:lncRNA from 1 species